CAAGAAACAGGAGGAAAAAAUGGAAGACUGCAGAACAGAAAAGGGCCUUCCCUGCUUCAACCUCCUCUUGCUUUGGAUGGAUACAUUUGUCACCUCUUUGGUGAUCAGUGAAAUUAUCGAAAUCAGAAGGCAAUAUUCCUCAACAGGACUGCGACCCUAAUGCCUGAAAGACAGCCUUGAUUCAAUAAUUCCUCUCUUGUAUUAUGGUGCACUUUAAAUGAGUGAAGUGCGUAAACAGUCCUGUGUGACUCAUCUUAUAGUAUUCAAUCUUCCACCCAACUUCCAAUCAGCGACAUCUCUCGUUGGCAUUUGUGAUAAGACAUUUGCUUUGUAUGGAACCGUGCACAUGAACUCACAUUCCACCAUCUGUGCCACAGCAGGUUGAAGCAUCAACACAAAA